UGAGGAACAUGACCUUCGGCGGGGGAUAGCCGGCCCAACGGCCGGGUAAUACCGCGUACGACCACAUGGGGACAUCCCUGAGUGGUGAAAGCAGCAAUGCGCCGAUGGAGUGCCUCGCGGCCUAUCAGCUAGCUGGUGAGGUAACGGCUCACCAAGGCGACGACGGGUAGCUGGUCUGAGAGGAUGGCCAGCCACAUUGGGACUGAGACACGGCCCAGAUCCCGUAACGGGG
rnacentral:rRNA from 1 species